AUCCAGCUGAAGCGUCCCAAAUAGGACGAAAUGCGCAUCCUGGAU
rnacentral:hammerhead_ribozyme from 1 species